rnacentral:rRNA from 1 species
UACGGAGGGUGCGAGCGUUAAUCGGAAUCACUGGGCGUAAAGCGCGCGUAGGCGGCUUUUCAAGUCAGGGGUGAAAUCCCACGGCCCAACCGUGGAACUGCCUUUGAAACUGUAGAGCUUGAGUGUCGGAGAGGGUGGCGGAAUUCCAGGUGUAGGAGUGAAAUCCGUAGAUAUCUGGAGGAACACCGGUGGCGAAGGCGGCUUACUGGACAGUAACUGACGUUGAGGCUCGAAAGCGUGGGGAGCAAACAGG